AGUGAACGCUGGCGGUAGGCCUAACACAUGCAAGUCGAACGGCAGCACAGUAAGAGUUUGCUCUUACGGGUGGCGAGUGGCGGACGGGUGAGGAAUACAUCGGAAUCUACUUUUUCGUGGGGGAUAACGUAGGGAAACUUACGCUAAUACCGCAUACGACCUACGGGUGAAAGCAGGGGAUCUUCGGACCUUGCGCGAUUGAAUGAGCCGAUGUCGGAUUAGCUAGUUGGCGGGGUAAAGGCCCACCAAGGCGACGAUCCGUAGCUGGUCUGAGAGGAUGAUCAGCCACACUGGAACUGAGACACGGUCCAGACUCCUACGGGAGGCAGCAGUGGGGAAUAUUGGACAAAGGGCACAAGCCUGAUCCAGCCAUACCGCGUGGGUGAAGAAGGCCUUCGGGUUGUAAAGCCCUUUUGUUGGGAAAGAAAAGCAGCAGGUUAAUACCCCGCUGUUCUGACGGUACCCAAAGAAUAAGCACCGGCUAACUUCGUG
rnacentral:rRNA from 1 species